rnacentral:lncRNA from 1 species
GAUGGGGGGCUCGGCGCCACAGGAGAGCGGGGUGUGCGUUUUGAGGCUGCCCCCAGGAAGGGCAGACAGUGCUCAGGCAGGCGUGGGAGCAGGAGGAGCUGCUCCAGGGCCACGGGAAGGAGCAAAACAGCCGUCAUGGGUAGCAGCAGCAGCGGGUGGGCAAGCAAAGGUUUGGCGUGGCCGAGAGGACAUGCGGCUGCAGGGCCACGCCGCCUCGCAAUGAAUGGGCUGGGGACCCCCCUGGCAUCAGUCCUGCUGCCCCCCUGUCCGGCAUCACCCGUGCGUGGGGCCGUCAGCCAAGUGGGCGCCCGUCGGUGCUGGCGGCAGGGGCGGUGCGAGGAGCUGGGGACCGCAGGCGGGCUCCCUCCUGCCCCCUGCACGUCCUCUGCUCUCGGCUCUCAGCCCGGCAGCGGGGCUGCUCACUGGUAGCGGGGCUGGCUCUCCAGCACGGGGCCCGUCCUGUACUC